rnacentral:rRNA from 1 species
AGCUCUGUAAGCGUAUACCAAAGUUGUUGCAGUUAAAACGCUCGUAGUCGGACGUUGGCGGGCGCUGUAUAUCGGCUUCACGGUCGGUUAUGCAGCGGCCGCCUUUGUGGAUGGGGGCUUCGUGGUGCUUCAUUGCCUCGCGUUAGUCGCUGCCACCGUUUACUGUGAAAAAAUUAGAGUGUUCAAAGCGGGCGUUUGCCAUGAAUACAUUAGCAUGGAAUAAUAGAAUAGGACCUGGUCCUGUUUUGUUGGUUUGUGAGUAUCAGGUAAUGAUUAAGAGGGACGGUUGGGGGCAUUUGUAUUCCGGGGUUAGAGGUGAAAUUCUUGGAUCCUCGGAAGACAAACAGCUGCGAAAGCGUCUGCCAAGGACGUUUUCA